rnacentral:rRNA from 1 species
AUUGAACGCUGGCGGCAGGCUUAACACAUGCAAGUCGAGCGGAGAUGAGGUGCUUGCACCUUAUCUUAGCGGCGGACGGGUGAGUAAUGCUUAGGAAUCUGCCUAUUAGUGGGGGACAACAUUCCGAAAGGAAUGCUAAUACCGCAUACGUCCUACGGGAGAAAGCAGGGGCUCUUCGGACCUUGAGCUAAUAGAUGCGCCUAAGGCGGAUAUAGGUUGUUGGGGGGGUAAAGGCCUACGAAGGCGACGAUCUGUAGCGGGUCUGAGAGGAUGAUCCGCCACAAUGGGGCUGAGACGCGGCCCAGACGCCUACGGGGGGCAGCAGUGGGGAAUAUUGUACAAUGGGGGGAACCCUGAUCCAGCCAUGACGCGUGUGUGAAUAAGGCCUUAUGGUUGUAAAGCACUUUAAGCGAGGAGGAGGCUACUGAGACUAAUACUCUUGGAUAGUGGACGUUACUCGAAGAAUAAGCACCGGCUAACUCUGUGCCAGCCGCCGCGGUAAGAC